rnacentral:rRNA from 1 species
UACGUAGGGCGCAAGCGUUGUCCGGAAUUAUUGGGCGUAAAGAGCUCGUAGGCGGUUUGUCGCGUCUGCUGUGAAAUCCCGAGGCUCAACCUCGGGCUUGCAGUGGGUACGGGCAGACUAGAGUGCGGUAGGGGAGAUCGGAAUUCCUGGUGUAGCGGUGAAAUGCGCAGAUAUCAGGAGGAACACCGGUGGCGAAGGCGGAUCUCUGGGCCGUAACUGACGCUGAGGAGCGAAAGCAUGGGGAGCGAACAGG